GACGAACGCUGGCGGCGUGCUUAACACAUGCAAGUCGAGCGGUAAGGCCCUUUCGGGGGUACGACGAGCGGCGAACGGGUGAGUAACACGUGGGUGACCUGCCCUCAGCUCAGGGAUAAGCCUGGGAAACCGGGUCUAAUGCCGGAUAUGACUCCAUGACGCAUGUUGUGGGGUGGAAAGCCUUGUGCGGCUGAGGAUGGGCCCGCGGCCUAUCAGCUUGUUGGUGGGGUGANGGCCUACCAAGGCGACGACGGGUAGCCGGCCUGAGAGGGCGACCGGCCACACUGGGACUGAGACACGGCCCAGACUCCUACGGGAGGCAGCAGUGGGGAAGUCUUGCGCAAUGGGCGAAAGCCUGACGCAGCGACGCCGCGUGAGGGAUGACGGCCUCGGUU
rnacentral:rRNA from 1 species